GAUUGGGCUAUAAAAAUGAAAAGAAACAAAAGUUGCGGCGGCUCAUGUGGCCGCCUUCUCCCCGCUCCGGAGACGUCUGCUCUCGGCGGCUAUCAUGCAGAGAAGCACCGGGAGCCGGAAAUAACGCGGAGGCGCGCUGCCGCGGGGUCCGGCCGUCCCCGUCAAAGCCGCGCAUCGCAGGCAUCGCGCGUGGAAAUAAAUCGCAGGAAGGCAGACAGCUCAGGUAACGCGCCUGCCUGUUAGACCGGGAAUUUGCCGCCAUUCCUGGCAUUUUGCAGGUUCUGCAGUGAGCUGCUCCGUUUGCCCCCUACUCUGAGAGCACGGACCGUGCCUCUCCUCUUGGCGGGGGAGUGAUGGCCAGUGAGUCCCCUUGCAUUGAGACGGCAGGUGACAAUUUGUGAGUCACUGGAUCACUCCGGACGGACGAAUCCUUCGCUCUGGAUUUUCGCUGACUCCCAGCAUCCCUAGCUGAAGCAAAUUUUGACUUCCCCCGCUGGAUUUUGCUUCAGAGAAGGGCUCGCCCCCUACAGGUCUGCUCGUCAUAUUGCAGAUUUCAUUUCAUGUUAGUGCUAGAACUAAAUUGCCUAAUUUACAAACGCCACUUUAAAUUUGUUUACGAGCCUCCUUUCCAAUCGCCAGUCAUCAAGGAUCCCAUCAUUUCCUGGGUGUCCUCCGCUCAUUUUUUUUAGCACGCAGUUUAGCGCGGCAGUGGAAUAUGCAAGCAAAUUAGGGCAUUAUCUUCAGGGAUACAGCUCUACGCAUUGCACGGGCCCGCUGCUGUCCGAUUGGCCGGCCGUGACAGGGUGAUUUAUGGGCUUUUGGCACAUUAGUUCAUCUGGCCUUACGGAGGGUUAGACUUGCCAGGGAUGAUGCAUCACGUUUUAAUUGGAGAGUCCAAAAUGCAUAAUGUUUACUGUAAAACAUUUAAAUGCAACGGGUGCCAAUGCCAAAAUAAACAUGAUAAAUGAA